rnacentral:lncRNA from 10 species
AGACCCUGCGUGCUGUAGAGCAGGGCCAGCAGAUUUGCACUCAGCCUCAGCCCCAGGGGAGCUGCAAGACAGACUGAGACCCUCACAGGUUUGGCUCUGUGUCCCCACUCAAAUCUCAUCUGGAAUUGUAAUCCUCCUGUGUCAAGGGAGGAACCUGGUGGGAGGGGAUUGGAUUUGGGGACAGUUUCCUCCCGUGCUGCUCCCCUGAUAGUGAGUGAAUUCUCAGGAAAGCUGAUGGUUUUAAAGUGUGGCACUUCCUUGUUCUCCACUUACUCCCUCCUGCCACCUUGUGAAGAAGAUGCCUGCUUCCCCUUCACCUUCCGCCAUGAUUGUAAGUUUCCUGAACUGCGAGUCAGUUAAGCCUCUUUCCUUUAUAAAUUAUCCAGUCUCAGGUAUUUCUUUAUAGCAAUGUGAAAACAAACUAACACAGACCCCUUCCCUGAAGUGCCUUCUCCUUAGGCCACCAGCUGCCCCCAUGCUCCUCCUCUGCCCCCUGGUCUUUCUUUUCCCCUCAUGAGGCCCAAGUGAUCCACAAGGCCAGCUUCACCUCCAUCCUACUGCAGGCCUGUGCAGCUGCUGGAGAGGCCGGGCUCCUUUCCUCACCCCAGAG